GUGUGAGGCUUUACCAUGUAUAUAAUAGGCCAAUGGCUAUGCUGUGCACGCGAAACAUGUCCUGCCCCUUUAAAUCACGAAGGGAGUUACCAUGGAAACUGAAGGAGCACGAGGACAGCUAGCUCCGUCUCCCGCGGUUUCUUCGCUGUUUUCAAGAGUGACAAAAACCCUCUAUAAUAGAAGAGAAGCUCAAGAUUUCAACAUUUUCUGAAGGGAGUUGCAGACAGGUGUAGAAAACUGCUUUUCAAAUUUUCCACAUUUAUCACAGUUAUUUUAAGAUGUUGACAUCUAAACAUUUGUCCAUGCUAAUGGCCAAGCAGUAGGGUUGGAACAGACCUGUCAGAAAACAUCUCUGAACCAUAUGACUAAUUUCAAAACAAUUUAUUCUUGAGAGGAGGCACCACAGUUAAAGACAGUGUUUUGAAGAAUUUUGAACUUCCUGCUCACAAACUACAUACUUCUCCAGUUAGUCUGACAGGCUAUCAAUGAGAAGGCGGCAUUACAGGACACCACUGAAAACUAUACCACUAAAAACUGAUUAUGGUAAGUCUUUUUGA